rnacentral:lncRNA from 1 species
UGCAUAUAGAAAUCCUUUUCAUUUCUUCUUUUCUUUCAUGAGGAAAUCUCCAUGCAUGGUUUGUCAGGACAGGAGAGUUCAAACCUUGUUAUUGAAAUACAAAUCAAUUGAAACGUGUUGGAACAAGUAGGAAAACAAAGUUAAGCUGAUUUCUGUUAAACAGUUUAAAGUCUUCUUCGGUACCAAAUAAAUUAAGCGUUGUAAAGUGAAGUUAAUUCGGAUAAUCACUCAGGGCAGAGGUCUAACCAUAUAGAUCACGGGUAUUACAAUUUAUGGUAUAAUUAGAUCCUCAGAAAUCUGCAGAACUCCCUCUCAAUUGGUUUCUGUGUUUACUUAACAAGACACGGAACAAAUACAUGUCAAUGUGUAGCUGAACUGAAGGGACUUGAGUGGAUGAAGUUACUGCCUUUAACUGUCAAGAACUACUCAGGGUCAGGGUUGGAUUUAAUCAUGUAAGUUGUGUUAUGCAGCAUGAUUGCCAUUACAGU